rnacentral:rRNA from 1 species
AGUUCGGACUGUAGGCUGCAACUCGCCUACACGAAGCUGGAAUCGCUAGUAAUCGCGGAUCAGCACGCCGCGGUGAAUACGUUCCCGGGCCUUGUACACACCGCCCGUCACACCAUGAGAGUCUGUAACACCCAAAGCCGGUGGGAUAACCUUUAUAGGAGUCAGCCGUCUAAGGUAGGACAGAUGAUUAGGGUGAAGUCGUAACAAGGUAGC